UGAGAGCUGCGGCAAGAUGGAGACCUGAGGCAACACACAGGAUGGUGUCCAGUGUACGGCCUAAGGGAUUUAUUCCUAGCUGACGCCGGAAAAAGGCCAUGACAAAGCCCCACCAUGGCUACUGCGGUGGACACGGAGGCCGAGGACCGACGGACUGACUGGGAGGAGUUCUGUGAUAACCAGGCCAGGGUGGCCGCCGCCGACUUCGUUAAGUCCUGGAGAGUGUUUGUGGCACUCCAAGCUCAGUUCAGGGAGUUGGAACACAAGGAACUGGCUCAGAAGUUUGCGGAGCUAUUUCCAGGGCAUUUAGAACAAGCAUUACUUAAUCCUCCCAACGGUGUAAAGGUCCGUAAUGGUGUUGGCAGUGUGGCCACUACAAGGUCUGCCUCGGCUGAUGACAUUCUGGAGGUGACAGCAGUAGUUAGUGACGAGGGGGGCGAGUCCCCGUCCCCUAAAGUGUCUCACAAGCCUUUCUUUAGGAGACUGUCUUUUAAGGGACUGAAGAAGGGUAAAAUAUUCUUAAAACAGCAUUCUGACGAGGUGGAGUUAUCUCCCCACCACGACAAGCAGUUGAAGAAUGAGCGGCACAAGGCCCGCACGGUGAAGCUGGCCGUGGAGUGCGUACGGGAGGGAACCGUGCACCUCUUAGCUGGAGACACUCAGGAGGGCCGGCCACAUUGGUUGAAGUGUCGCAUGGCUCUUGUUAAAGUCGCUGCUGGACAUAUGCUUGAAUUUUAUGCACCUCCUAAGAGUAUGAAGCCCCGUACUGGUGUAUUCUGCAUAUCAAUAAAUGAGGCAAGGGAGACUACUGAUUUGGAGAUGCCAGACCUUAGAAACACAUUUGUUAUCAAGCCAUCGUGGGCAUCAUCAAGGAUGUUUGCAUUUCCACACAUUUGCCAGGCAGAUAGUGGCAAUGAGUGGGUAGUGGAGGCUCAGGACCAGGAGGACAUGAAGGUGUGGCUGACGACCAUCGUUGCUCAUUGUUGUUCCACCGAUAAAGAACAGUCAAAGAAUUAUGAGCUUCGACCAGCAAUGUAUAGUGUGAAGAAUGAGUCAUCACAGUCCCUGGCCGCCACGGUAGGAGGUGGUGAGGUGAUAGAACGUCCUGAACAUCCUCCAGACCUUCCCCCAAGAGUCCCUGGUACUACCUCCCCGAGCUCACAACAGGCAUUUAUUAUAGCUGCAAGACAAAGCAACCUGUCAAUGCACUCCAGAUCUCAAAAUGGACUUGGAGAUUACUCAAGCGAGGACACUGUCAAUGUGCGAGUACCUUCAGAUGUGGACUUUUACUCCAGCCUACGAGACUACCCUUGGUUUCACGGUACACUCUCUCGUUGUGAUGCUGCCUCUGCCGUCCUUCAGGAGGCUGUGGCAGGACAUGGUGUCUUUCUUGUUAGACAAAGUGAAACAAGGAAAGGGGAGUAUGUUCUUACCUUCAACUAUCAAGGGAGAGCAAAGCAUUUAAGAAUGACCAUCAACCCAGAUGGUGCGUGCCGGGUCCAACAUUUGUCCUUUGCCACAAUAUUUGACCUGCUGGAGUACUUCCGUGACAACCACAUCCCUCUAGAGUCUGGUGGUACCUCAGAUGUAACUCUCUCAGAGUUUGUCAUUGCCUCUGAUUAUUCUGCUCGUAAUACAGGAGCAGGGCAAGGAGGAGCAGAGCGCAGACCACCAAACCUCCCAGACACGAGAGAGGUUGCAACUCAUGGAGGAUCAGUUCGCAUGACAACUACAGUCCUUGAACGACUUCAGUAUGAACAGAGUAACUCAGGUGGGUCUACAGGAAGAGCGGUGGAAAAUACCUACACAUAUACAUGAAGACAUGAUUAUUAUGCCCCAGAAAAGAAGUGAGUGAUGCAAGAUAAUGUGACUUAAAAUGAAAAAUGCCAAUGAAAGAGUAGGAUGAACCGUGGCAGGAACAUUAUGGAAAUAUUGCUGUGAGAAGGUGUGAGAAUAUGAACAUAGAUAACGUCUUUUAUCUCACUGUUUGAUGCUGCGAAGGGCUCGGACGUCUUGUACUGUUAUUUCUGCUCGGUACACCAGAGAACUCCAUGGUCAGUCACUCAGUUACCCGUACAGUACUGUUUAUUUCAUUAACCGAAUUGUAAUAGGCAAGCAGCACAUUUUGUGAUGCCACUGAGCAAGAAUUUAUUUUAUAGGUAUUAGUUCUCAGUGAUUAAGGCAUCAUGUUGGUACUGUUCUAUAGACUGUUAGGUUAACAUUGAGGGUGCAGUUUAGUGGUUCUGUAUUUGUGCUGGUUGAGGAGUGCUGAUCACUAAGUGUGUUAUAUGUUUUGAAAUGUACUGUACAGACCUAAGCUAUGAGUGUGUAUGUGUGUUGAGCUUAAAUGUAUACAGAGUGUUUUUGUGCAUGUUUGAGUGUGUGUGUGUGUGUGUGUGUUUACAUAUAUACAUUGCAGUUUUUUAUUUUUCCGUAAAAUGACUUGCAUCUGGCAGGGAACUUUUUGUCCACUUAUCAGUAAUUGCUUGAGACCAAAAAGUUUGGCUAAUGAAUUUAAGGAAAUAGUAAAGAGUCACAAGUAAGGAUGAACAAAUUCUUCAGUUUAUAAGGUGUAUGUUGGCUAAUUUCAUUUUUGAGCUGCAGGUCGGAAAAAAAUUAGGUAUUGAAAAUCUCUUAAUUUUGCCCCUGCAAAUUUUCAAUCUUUCCAAUGAGCUCUUUAGUGUUUCAGGACAUGUGCUAUGAAUUGAUUACAUUUGAUAAUAGAUCUGAAGAAACUGUGAAUGUGAUUGUAUUAGAAGAGGGGCAGUGAUGUAGUGUCGGCAUAGGGAGAACAUAAAAAAAUAGCUUAUCUUUUAAAGCUGGCAAUUAAUUUCAGGAUUUGCCCUUUGCUAGAACAUAAUGGCAUCUUUUCCACACGUGGCUGCAGUCUUCAAAAACUGAGUGGAUCACUGAAAUGUACAUUAUUAUAGACUGUGAUGAGAUGAAGUUUCUACUUUUUGAGAGGAAUUUCCCUGAUGAAUCCUUUGUUAAUGUUCAGUUACAGGUAGUGGCAUCAUUGCUGAGAAUAAGUAUACCAAUAUGGAGUGCUAAAGGGGGUAACUAAUUUCUGCUUUUGUGUGAUUGUGUUUGUGUAAGUACUGUAUAAAUUUUUACAUAUUAAUUGAAAUGCCUGUAUGUUGUGUAUGUUUGUAUUGUAUAUUUUUUGAGUAAGGCAUAAACAAAUACGUACUAUCAUGUAGGAAUUAAUUAUAUUCAGUAGGUUUUAUCAUAUUAAAAAUCAAGAAAGUUAUUGUAUGUUAAAAAGUUCUAAGUAUUUGGUAACUUGCAUGCAUAUUACUUGGCUGGAAACUCUGCUAAUAAUCUCUCUUUCCCCCUCCCAAAUUGAUUGAAAGAUAAUAGCUUAUUGCUGUUGAUUGAACUAAGAUUAUUCAAGUUCGACAUUGGAUAGAGUUGACUGCCUGUAUUACUUUGUUGAGAUUAUAUUGAAAAUUAUAUAGAUUCAUGUGAAGAACAAAAGACAAGUUUGUUUUUAUGUUGUUAUUUGUUAAGUGUUAAUUGACUAAUGUACCAAAAUCCUAAGUUUAUAUUUAAGGAGUCUACAUCAUGUCAAGUGCUGUAAGGUAUACCAGUCUUGUGCAGUGUCUGUGUCUGUGAUGUGGUACCAGGCUGUAUUGCAUUUUGGUAACUAAAAGGAUUAGUGAAUUUGUAGUAUUGAUUUACAAAGAAGUCCAUUACUGUAUAGUAUAUGUGGCAUAAACAUCCGUAACUAAUCCAGUACAGUACAGUACUGUAAUAGCUUCUAAAAAAUGUUUGCACUGACUAUACGGUGAACAGAUUGUUUACGUAAUAAUGUUUGUUUCCCGGAUACAGUAACAUGGAAAAUUCUGUAGAUGUGUUCAUGUCUCAAAAGUGAAGGAGUAACAUUCCAGAUGUGGUAAAAAUUUACAGUAUCCUAUAUUUACAAUUAGAAAAAUGUGGGACAGGUAGCAAAGAUCUUUAACGACAUCCAUGCAGCACUAUGUCACGGCAGAGUAGACGAUGGAGUUUCAACAAAAAUUUUAUGCCUUUAACGUUACACUCAUUGAUCCAGUCUGUGUUUACAGUAGAGUUUUGUACACCGAAUCGUCUCAUAAGAUGUAAAUACAGAAACUAACACAAAUAGUAUAGUUCUACAGAAAUAGUGUGGAAUGAAAUAUUUAACCUGUUGUGUAUGGCCUCUCCUCUGAACUGAAUAAUAUCAUCUGGUGUUCACCAAAUGAAAUAUUAAAAGGGGCAUCCCCCAUAGUGAAGGGGCUAAUGAACUGUAUACGGUAGUGUAAAAUACAGUUAGAAGAUGGUGUAACCAUAAACUUCACAUCCAAGUUCGAUAGGUUGUGAAAAUCUUUGUGCAGAUUUAUCCUCUUCGUCACAGUGAUGUAUUCAGUCCAUCAUAAGAUCCUCAGAGUCGCAGAUGGUGAAGUUCGUGGUACAUCAAAAUUAACCUGGAUGUAAUAGGAGAAGAGCCAGGUUUGGUGUAUCUGCCUAGUAUAUGCUGCUGUGAGCAAUAAUACCCCUCUCAGUCAAUGGUGCUCGGCUCAACCAAUGACAUCAUAGUCUCCUGUGGGUGCUUCCAUUGUUCCACCACAGUCUCCCAUUGCCCUUAGAAUUGGAAGGAUAUAUAGUGUGACAUCUUACAAUUUUGAGGUAGAAAUGGUAGAAUCACAGGAUAUUAUUAGUGGUGUAGAAUAUAAUCCCAACCAGGAACACCUUGACAGUGAACCUUUGUCACAGGACAGCAUAGAGAGUAAGGAGGAGCAUGAAGUUUGAGGCAGCUGGACUCUUAUGAGUGACUUGUUUCAUGAUGUAAAACCUAAUCUGAAGACACUGUUCUCAUGUAGAAUAUUCAGGAAUAUAUUCUGCCUUCGAUGCAAAUACAUUUUCCACUGUAGAUGAUACAUUCCAGUUAUUUUUUGACCAAGCAUUAGUGUCUACCAUGUGUCAGUGGGUAAAUAUGAGAGCGGAUAUAAGUGUCACUGAACAUCUUCAAUGGAGGGGAAGAGUGAAUAGUUUAAUUUGGAAUUAAGUUAAUGUAGUUGACAUGUACACUAUUGUUAGCCUUCUCUUUGUCGCAGGGUUUGUCAGGAAGAAACUGUGGAGGGAAUAACUAAUCUUCAGAUGACAGAGUUUCUCAGGCAACGAGUCACAAAUACAGUACAGUAGAGUAUGAACACUUUCAGCACUGUACAAUGAAUGUAUUGUUUGCGCAUAUAAUAUACAUGUUCUGUACAGGACAUAAAUAUUUGUCUUGAAUAUAAUUUCCAAGUGCCCGGGAGGGUGGAAAAAUUAUAUUACCUGUACCGAUAAAUAUUGUGAAUGGUGAUGUGUGACGGCUGGCCAAGAUAAAGUGGUUUAUGUUCAUUUUACUCAUCACAUUAUAUUCUCAAAUACGUACAACACAUCUGGCCCAUGAAGUGCUCCGUGGAUGUUGUGAGGAGGACCUUUAAACUCUAUUGUGGUUAUCAGUACUGUUCAUGUCUCUCUAAGUGUGGAUAUUCUGUAUUACAUUUAAGAAAUGUCAUUUACUCUCAUAUGGAUUUAAGUACGGUACUCAUUGCUCAAAACUUACAUGAAGGCAGUUUAGGUAGCGGCUGCUCUGAUGAAUAAUCCACUCUAGAAAAGGAAUAUUAGAUUAUCCCAGAAUACACAGGUAAUACUUUGUGGUAUUGGAUAGUCUUGUCUUUUCAGUGCUCUGUAUUCUAGUCAUAUAUUAAGACUUCACAUUUAGUCGAUAUUCAGGAGCGUUAUCAGAUCUGUGUAUGGUUAGAUAUUUGUGGAAAAAUCCUCUUAUGCCUCUAUAUAGUGCACUGAUAUCUGUUGAUCCAUGAACACGUAGGGAUUGAGCAAUUGGACACAGUUUUAGGCAGCAUUUGUGGAUAUUUGAUACAAGAGAUAUCUUGGCAGCAUGAGUUUUUGUUGUUAUGAAAGUGAUCAACAUCAGAAUGUGGUUGAAUUUUCUGAAGCAUAUAAUUACUUAAUAUAGUGAACUACAAUAGAUCAGUGAUUUGAAAGUAUGGUGUAAAAAAUUGUGCAGUAUAUAUAUUGGCUACAGUGAUAGGUGACUUAGUACAGGUGCUACUGAUCUUGAUAUGGAACUUCCCAAAUGAAAGUAGAAAUAUAUUGACAUGAUUGAAAAGUCUUUGUGCAGGUCUUGGGUCACUAUUGAGAGUGCUUGUUUCUGGUUGACUUGACUGCUGUGACUCUUCAUAUUUACCAUCUUCUGAAAAAUACUGUAUAAACAUUGGAACAUCACCUAGUAGUGUACAGUACAUGUUCUAAGUCCAUAUUGGUCAAGUUAUAAGACUACCUUCUAAACACUGCCAGUACAGUACAGUAUUGUAUGUUUUGGAUUAACCUUCAGGUACAGUAGUUGGAACAUCAAGUAAUCAUUGCACACAUUUAGCUUAGCUUAUUAUGUACACUUGGUGAGUCCCAUAGAAAAUUGACUUUAUUGAGUUCCUGUAAUAAUUCCUUAAAGUUAAGCAGUAUUGUUCAAAUAUCAAAAUAAUGAUGAUACUCUGUAGUCUUGUGGAGCACUAAGGCAUGCAGGCAGCCUUACAACUAUAUGAAGAUUAUAAACUUUCACUAUUAGUGUGCAUUCGAGUUGUUCACAAGUAACAAUCACAAGGCUUCUAAUUUAUAGGUAAAAUCUCAUUACAGGGUAUUAUUAAAAUGAUAGUUUCUUUAUUUUUGAAGGGAAUAUCCUGUUGAAAUACUGAAUACAGUGCUGUACUGGCAAUGUUUAAAAGGUAGCUGCUUAUAUAAUAGAAUAUUUUGACCCUUAAGGUCAAGCCAAACUUCCAAGUCAGGAAAUUAGUUUAAGUGCACCAGUGAACCCCUGAGUGUAUAGUAGCCUGUAUGUGAUAUCCUUGAUAAAUUUCAGGCUAAUGAUUUCGAGUUGCAGAUGUAAAAGUCUCUUUGACUUAUGAUGCUUUAGUUUAGCUGUGGAUGGUGACUACAUUUAGGUGAAUUGUAUAUACAUGUUUAGUUUGUCUCAGAGUAUAGUGCAUGUGAUCUUUAUGAGGAUGUGGUUGCAGUUUUUAUGAUUUUUAUAAGAAUACACGAGCAGUCAGAUUGUCCUCAGCUACGAUUGUUUACUCUAAACUUAAUCAGUUCUUGAGAUGGAAACUUUCAAUGUUGUUUGUUGAUGUUUAUAUAACAAUUUAAUAUGAUUUUUAAAUAAAUGGAUACUUUAAUAAGCUAAUCUUUAUACACUAUUGUGGAUGGCAUAUUUGUAAAUACUAAUGUGGCAAAUAUCCAGUUUACAUUUCAAGUUUGAAUUCUUUAAUAUCAUUGUUCAUCUGAGCAGCUCCAUAUACAAACAUUCUUUGUCAGGAAAAACUGUGCAUUCUUCAGUGUGCUUGGGAAUUAUUCAUAAGUUGUAUAUAAGGUGGUAUCAUCUGUCAUAUCCUCUUGAUAUCUAAACUAUGCUUGCCGAGGGGUUUAAUUCUUUACAUGUGUAAUGUGAAUUGGCAUCCUGCUAGUUUGAUGACCAAUGUCACAGUAAAUUAAACAUCGUCUCUAAUGAGGUGAAAUUGUAGCAGGACAUGAAUGAAAACUAAGUGUCAGUGAGCUUAUACUCCUGCUUCCACAUGUUUUAUUACAAUUUUGCUUUGAUGAUAUAUUAUGAAAUGCACUCAAGAGUUUGAGCAUUUAUUGAAAAUAGAUCAAAUUACUCUUGCUAUUAAAUGUUUUACAUUUUUCUCUGAUCUAGAGUUCUGCUCAGCACAUUUGGCAAAGCACUAUUGGCCCUUUGAUAAGUGGAGUUGGUUGCUAAACACUGUUAAGCUCCAGGGUAUAGGUAUACCUAUACUGUACUGUACUCUGUUUCCUCCUGUGAUGAUGCCACUGUGGUGAUGGUUUAAGUGUUUGGAUGAUUGCUGUAAAUGCUUGAAAACUCUGAUUAAUGUAGUUUUCUUGAGCUGUAUCCAGUAACUCAUGUUCCUGGUUUAAUGUGAGGUGCUCAGUGUAUAAUCUCCUGGUUAUUUGUUUCUCUAUAUUUUGUGAACCUUUUUCUGUACUGACGGCAGGAGAGUGUGUGCAGAAUCUCACUGAACACUUUCUCACGUGAUUGAUUGUCUUCACAUCUUUAAAUGCCAAAGACUUUACCCUAAUUUUCCUUUUUUUUUUAAGACAUCCUUUCAUGAGCUUAAGUACAAAAAGUACAGCUGCCUUGGCAGAAUUAAAAUUAUUUACAAGUUAAUGUAAAUUAUAUCUGGUAAAACAAAAAUAAAAUGGUAUGAUAUCAAUGUCAGAAUAGAUGAGUUUGAAAUUAAUCAUAUUAUAUAUCAGUGAAUAUAAUAUGUUCAUCUUGUGGCUAUUUUUCUGUUUUUGACCUGGAAAAGCACAAAGCAUUAUUAUAUUAUACAUUAUUAUAGACCUUGCACAAUACAUGCAAUUCAUAAUUGCUAUUGCACAGGAUUUAAAAAAGAUGCCAAGGAAUUGCAUGGAAGUUAUUGUUACAAGAAUGAAUUCUUUAUGGAGAAAAUUUAUGCUCUUUCUGAUAUUUGAAGAGCAAUAAAGCACUGUUUAUUGUUUAAUGAGUUAGUUAAUAUAUUUUUGUCCAAAGGCAUCCUGUGAGUCUCUUGGCUUGAUCAUGGCAUUAAUGAGGCUUGUUACUUCUUAUACUGUUUGUCAGAGGAGUGGUUGUCAGUGCUGUACUGUAUCCACUUUACCCUUCAUUAAUCAUAUGUGCUCCACUCAAAAUAAAAUGAAAGAUAAUUUUGUAAUACUGUAGUACUUUAACUCAUAUACAUUACCUGUCCAGCUGUAAGAGUAGCCAUAACUCGUAACCAAAUAAGAACAGCAGGGGAAUAGAUGCAACAAGUCGCACAAACUUUUGAGGUUUCAAUGCUGUCAUGGGGGAUAUUAUUGUUGAUAAGCUCCACAGUCACAUGGUGUCAUGCAUACUUUGUUUCACUUUAUGACAUACAGUACACACAGGUUUAGUAAGUUCUAUUAAUUAAGACCCAAUCCCCAAAUUUAUUGAUGAAUAUGUACUGUAUACAGUAUACUGUACUGUACACAAUACAUCUACCCUUUAUAGUACUGUACAGUACUGUAAAUAGUAACUGGAGUGUGAUAAUGAUUCUGCAUGGGUCCUCCUCCUUGAAGUGCAGGAAGAGGUACAUUGGGUAUUUAUGGUUAAAUAUGGACCAUUUUCAACCAGAUUCAAACAAAAUACUGUAUUGAGUAUUUAUGAUAUGGAAAUUUUCAGCCUUAUCUUGUAUGGUCUCUGCUUUUCUUCAAUAUUUAUAUGUCAAUUCUGAAAUAAGUAUAAGAUGUACUGCCGUAAGGAGGUGCCAUAUAAUAAAUGAUUAUGAUUAUGUGACUAUAAAUGUAGUGUAAUGUUACUGUGUGUUGAUCAUAAAAGAUAAGAGAUGUCACAUUCCAGACCAGGCAGCUGCUGGUGCUUAUAGAGGCUGGUGAGGAUACCAUGGUCAAAGUUCUUUCAAUGUGUGCCAUCAAGAACAAGUUUCUCUAUCGUUGAUUUUGUAGUAAGACUUAACAAUUCUCUUCAUUCUAGGUUAUACUGUAUGGUGAUGGUUGAAGCUUCUUAUCUUGACCAACUUAGAUUAAUGUAUUCUCUACUUAAGAAAGAAGAGUUUUAUCUGUUGAGUACUGAUAACUGUUGCUGUAGAGGAUGUAUAAGAGUAUGCAUAACAUGACAAUUGUUAUUGUUUAAAAAAAUUAAUUAGACAUAUGUUUUAUAGUUAAUAUUUUAUAGUACUGCAGUCAUGUGUGGAUGCUUUGUCUUGUAAGGUAAAAAUGUCACUCAAUUAAUGUUCAGAGCCGAAUAUGAGAAACCAGGAAGUAGAUAUGAAUUAGCUGCUGGGUGCAAGAGCUAUACUGUCAUAUGUAUAUAAAUUUGAUGUUCUCAGCCUGUACAUCAAGUGUUCUGAUUUGGUAUUUGAUGAGCAGCUGUUUGAUAGAAGGUCUGUACAGUAUAAUGUGGUGAUUCCUGAACUUCUUUCUCAAACUUAAAUUGUUAGGGACGGUGAACAUCAUGUGCAUCUAUCUGAGGAUGUCUUUUUAAGCUUCAACUGUUUUACUAAGGUUGUUAUUAUAUAAUUAUUGUGUAAUUGAUUCAUACACAUUAAUCAUUUAACUCUUGGAAAGCACAAGGUGACAACUAACCAUACAGUGUACAGUAUAUUAGCUCCAAGGCCCAGGAAGACCCAUAGAUUUAGAAUGAUCACCCAAAUACACAAAUGUGACAAGUUGUAACUCAACAGAAAAAUCUAUAUUCUUAAACAUUAAAUUUAUAUUGUACUAUCACUUAAGUAGUGAUUGAUUUUACUCAUCUUAAUAUAAUCAGAUCAAUGCAGGGGGCUUUUGUGAUUUAUGAAUUCAAGAUAAGAAGUUUCAAAUGAUUACUUCUGUGAGAAGUACUGUACGUACUGUACAGUACUGUACUGUGUUUAGGUACUGUAGAUUAUUAAACAUUUCUAACUUGUGCAAUAAUUUUUACAGCUUUUUUAGGAAUAUCUCUCUAUGUAGUGAGUUGGCCAGUCUAAAACACUCAUGAAAUUGGAAAGAAAAUGUUUCUUUGCUGUUCUACCUCUGACUUAGACUGGUUCCUGAGACACCAGGCAACAACAUCAUGCUAACCUGCUAGCCCUCCCCCUCUGUAGUGUUCAUCUUGAGAGUGGGCCUGUAGGUAGACUGUUUCCAGGCAUAUGUGACUUACUUAUGAGACCUGAUGUGUAACAGAUGGAUUUUUUUUUUUAUGGCGAGAGUAGAGUUCAUAUUGAUCCUUUUAGGAAGGCACAUAUUUGCUGGUUUUUCAUCAGUAAUUAACUUAUAAGUACAAGAUGAGGUUUCCAGUGAUGACAAGUGCCAGAACAGUGUUCCCAGGUAGCAGCUUUAUGUGACAGUAAGAGAGCGAGAUAAACAGCUUGUGUGGUACAAGAACCAAGUUGUUAAAUAUUCUGUCAGUGGUGUAUUUUUCUUUUGUGUAGUUAGUUUAUAUUCAAAAUUACUGAAUAGGGAAUAUCAUCAUUUACUGUGAAGAAUUUGUCAUGUUUGACUUAGAAUAAUAUUGGUGCCUGUAUUAUAGGGAUUGUCAGAUGUUUGACAUGAGAAAAUAUUGGUGCCUUUAUUAUAAGACUUGUCAAUAAGUUCAGUACGUAUGUCUUAGAUACCAAAGUCUACAGCUUAGGUUCUGUACGACCACUGAAGCUGUCAUGUUGUAGAGUUGGUGGUUGUGUGUAAAUGUGGCGGACAAGGUAGCAUUUAUGUUUUAUGCUGCUUUUACACGACAUGCUCAUGACAACAUUUAAUGCCAAAUAAAUUUUUUUAGUCA
rnacentral:misc_RNA from 1 species